rnacentral:rRNA from 1 species
ACACAUGCAAGUCGAACGGCAGCACGGAGCUUGCUCUGGUGGCGAGUGGCGAACGGGUGAGUAAUAUGUCGGAACGUACCCUAGAGUGGGGGAUAACGUAGCGAAAGUUACGCUAAUACCGCAUACGACCUGAGGGUGAAAGCGGGGGAUCGCAAGACCUCGCGCUACUGGAGCGGCCGAUAUCAGAUUAGCUAGUUGGUGGGGUAAAGGCCUACCAAGGCAACGAUCUGUAGUUGGUCUGAGAGGACGACCAGCCACACUGGGACUGAGACACGGCCCAGACUCCUACGGGAGGCAGCAGUGGGGAAUUUUGGACAAUGGGCGCAAGCCUGAUCCAGCAAUGCCGCGUGCAGGAAGAAGGCCUUCGGGUUGUAAACUGCUUUUGUCAGGGAAGAAAUCCUCUGGGCUAAUACCCCGGGAGGAUGACGGUACCUGAAGAAUAAGCACCGGCUAACUACGUGCCAGCAGCCGCGGUAAUACGUAGGGUGCGAGCGUUAAUCGGAAUUACUGGGCGUAAAGCGUGCGCAGGCGGCUUUGCAAGACAGAGGUGAAAUCCCCGGGCUCAACCUGGGAACUGCCUUUGUGACUGCAAGGCUAGAGUACGGCAGAGGGGGAUGGAAUUCCGCGUGUAGCAGUGAAAUGCGUAGAUAUGCGGAGGAACACCGAUGGCGAAGGCAAUCCCCUGGGCCUGUACUGACACUCAUGC